UACGUAGGGGGCAAGCGUUGUCCGGAAUCAUUGGGCGUAAAGAGCGCGUAGGCGGCCCUGUAAGUCCGCUGUGAAAGUCAAGGGCUCAACCCUUGGAUGCCGGUGGAUACUGCAGGGCUAGAGUCCGGAAGAGGCGAGUGGAAUUCCUGGUGUAGCGGUGAAAUGCGCAGAUAUCAGGAGGAACACCGAUGGCGAAGGCAGCUCGCUGGGACGGUACUGACGCUGAGGCGCGAAAGCGUUGGGAGCAAACAGG
rnacentral:rRNA from 1 species